rnacentral:rRNA from 1 species
GACGAACGCUGGCGGCGUGCCUAAUACAUGCAAGUAGAACGCAGUUGCGAACGGGUGAGUAACGCGUAGGUAACUGCCUGGUAGCGGGGGAUAACUAUUGGAAACGAUAGCUAAUACCGCAUACAACCAGGUGGACCUGCGUUGGAUUAGCUAGUUGGUGGGGGAACGGCUUACCAAGGCGACGAUACCUAGCCUACCUGAUAGGGUGAUCGGCCACACUGGGACUGAGACACGGCCCAGACUCCUACGGGAGGCAGCCGUAGGGAAUCUUCGGCAAUGGACGGAAGUCUGACCGAGCAACGCCGCGUGAGUGAAGAAGGUUUUCGGAUCGUAAAGCUCUGUUGUAAGAGAAGCGGUAUCUUACCAGAAAGGGACGGCUAACUACGUGCCAGCAGCCGCGGUAAUUC